rnacentral:rRNA from 1 species
UAGGGAAUCUUCCGCAAUGGGCGAAAGCCUGACGGAGCAACGCCGCGUGAGUGAUGAAGGUCUUCGGAUCGUAAAACUCUGUUAUUAGGGAAGAACAAAUGUGUAAGUAACUAUGCACAUCUUGACGGUACCUAAUCAGAAAGCCACGGCUAACUACGUGCCAGCAGCCGCGGUAAUACGUAGGUGGCAAGCGUUAUCCGGAAUUAUUGGGCGUAAAGCGCGCGUAGGCGGUUUUUUAAGUCUGAUGUGAAAGCCCACGGCUCAACCGUGGAGGGUCAUUGGAAACUGGAAAACUUGAGUGCAGAAGAGGAAAGUGGAAUUCCGGGUGUAGCGGUGAAAUGCGCAGAGAUAUGGAGGAACACCAGUGGCGAAGGCGACUUUCUGGUCUGUAACUGACGCUGAUGUGCGAAAGCGUGGGGAUCAAACAGG